rnacentral:sRNA from 1 species
AUUUUUUUUGUAAUGCCCUUUUCAUGAUGGCCUUUUUUAACUCUACCCUUUUUUUUUAGCCAUUUUUAUUUCUAUCCUCUUUAAAUUUUUAAUGACCAUUUUACCUUUAUUUGAAAA